rnacentral:rRNA from 1 species
AGGAUGAACGCUGGCGGCGUGCCUAAUACAUGCAAGUCGAGCGGUAAGGCCCCUUCGGGGGUACACGAGCGGCGGACGGCUGAGUAACACGUAGGAACGUACCCCAAACUGAGGGAUAAGCACCAGAAAUGGUGUCUAAUACCGCAUGUGGUCUUCGGAUUAAAGCUUCGGCGGUUUGGGAACGGCCUGCGCAUGAUUAGCUUGUUGGUGAGGUAAAAGCUUACCAAGGCGACGAUCAUUAGCUGGUCUGAGAGGAUGAUCAGCCAGACUGGGACUGAGAACGGCCCAGACUCCGUACGGGAGGCAGCAGUAGGGAAUUUUCCACAAU